rnacentral:rRNA from 1 species
GACGUAGGGCGCGAGCGUUGUCCGGAUUUAUUGGGCGUAAAGAGCUCGUAGGCGGCUUGUCGCGUCGAAUGUGAAAUCUCGGGGCUCAACUCCGAGCUUGCAUUCGAUACGGGCAGGCUAGAGUUCGGUAGGGGAGACUGGAAUUCCUGGUGUAGCGGUGAAAUGCGCAGAUAUCAGGAGGAACACCGGUGGCGAAGGCGGGUCUCUGGGCCGAUACUGACGCUGAGGAGCGAAAGCGUGGGUAGCAAACAGG